rnacentral:rRNA from 1 species
CCUACAUGAAGCUGGAGUUGCUAGUAAUCGCGAAUCAGCAUGUCGCGGUGAAUACGUUCCCGGGCCUUGUACACACCGCCCGUCACACCAUGAGAGUUGGCAAUACCCAACGUACGUGAUCUAACCCGCAAGGGAGGAAGCGUCCUAAGGUAGGGUCAGCGAUUGGGGUGAAGUCGUAACAAGGUAAC